rnacentral:lncRNA from 1 species
CUGAGAUUUGGUGAGGAUUUUUAUUUUGGUCGUCCUGAGCCUACUGUAACUGGGGCGGCUGAGUUGCUAUGGUGAUUUGUUCUCCAAACAGAGGGCUUUGCCGCAGUACCUUGAAACAGCAGAUCAAUCUACUUUAUGUUGACUUGAUCAUGAUAUUAAUUCUAGUUGAAACCUCCCCCAGGCUCCCAUCAGGACUUGUACGCAGGAAUUUUAAAUCCGGGUCCAAGAGGCAUCGUCUUUUUAAAGCCAGGCCCUCACAAUUCCUGCCCCCGAGACUGCAGGCUCACAGUCAAAAGCUCCGGGGUCAGGGGUGGGGGGGACUGCAGUUGGAGGAAGGUUCAUCAUUGAAGCAAUUAUGUGCUUAAUCGCUGCAGCGUGGGCACCGGCUGCAAGUUGUGACUCAUUCCCCACUCUGUCACUAAUAAUUGGGGGCGGUGGACAGGAUGCACAGAAAACUCAGCUGCUUUUUCCCGAGUUCCUCUUGCAAAUCUGGAAGUCGCUGAGAUCCGUCCUUGAAGCAGGGGAGAAAGGCCGACCUCAGCUCCACGACGUGGCCCUGCCUGUCUCCACCGGUAGGGGGCCCCAUUGAGUCACCGGACUCUAUAAGGAUGACUGCACUUUGAAUGGGGGUGUAGCUGCCUCUGGGUCUUGCCCAACGGUGACGCGGGAGAGGGAAAAAAAAAAAAAAAAAAAGGAGCUGCCUGAUUUCCAGCGUGACUCAUUAUAAACAAACGGAGGACAGAUUGACUGCCUCUUAUCAGAGCCUGAGUAUGAGCCCCAGGACUGAGGAUAACAUGCCCCGUUGUGAGCAGGAAAAGUCACUUUUCCUUCCUCUUGCUAUAGAGUCUCUUGCUAAUUCCAGCUUCUGGCUGAUAACCUUAUGGGGUCUUCAAAAUCAUUAUUUGGAAAACAAUGCCCGUUUACUCAACAACCACUCCUGAAGCUCCUACUGUGUGCCAGACAAAAGUCAGAUCUGACAAUCCUAGGUCCCCAUUCCCCCCUGGCAUCGUGGACUGGAGCCGAGUAUCUGCAGGAGUUCUUCAGUUUUCCAUACUCCCCACCCAUCCCCAGCCCUGAAACCAAGACUCCAGAGCCCAGGAUCAUUGCACACACAGAGUCGUAUUCCUUACGCUCAAGAAAUCCUUCCUGUACCCAGGAAAUUGAAAACCAGACCAAGGAAGUGGUAUGUUUUUUGAAAAGAAAGCAUAAAUCAAUCUCUGUAAGCAAAGACAAUCCUUAG